GGCUCGUUCGUCUAGUGGUCCAGGACAUCGGUCUUUCAAGCCGAAAACAGGGGUUCAAUUCCCCUACGAGCCA
rnacentral:tRNA from 1 species